UUUUUUUUUUGGUUUUUUUUGUGGCCUUUUAUUAUGGCCAGCCUAAAGCACACCUUUGCACUUACCAUGCUGUCUAAUCAGCAUCUUGAUAUGCUAAACCUGUGAGGUGGAUGAAUUAUCUCGGCAAAGGAGACAGAUUGACAGAUUUGUGAACAAUAUUUGAGAGAAAUAGGCCUUUUGUGUACAUAGAAAAAGUCUUAGAUCUUUGAGUUCAGCUCAUGAAAAAUGGGGGCAAAAACAAAAGUGUUGC